CCAGAUUGAAUCUCUUCAGUGUACGUGUGAGGUGGGAUAGUCAAUUUGUCUCAUUUCAUGGGUCACUGCCAGUUGGGAUCACAGCUGCUCCUGCUGGAGAGGACUGUACAUCCUUGGCAUCCUCUAUAGAGCCUGGUGUGGCCCAGGGAAUCCGUUCCAGGAAGGGAGCCCCUGGCGUGGUGUAGAAGCUGGAAUCACCUCUUACCAGCUGCCUGGACAAGCCGCUGACCCCAGUUCAGUGCUGCAGUUUCCUCGUCCAUUCAAGUGAGGAUAGUGAUACACUCACAGGCAUUUACUCGUCUCCUGGGCAGGUAGGUUCCACCCACGCUGACACCUGUGACAAAGGGUUCCCAGACCUGUGGUCUCAGUCUUACCUCCAAGUAUCCGGGAGAGCAUUUGUUGGAAGGGAGUGGCUGGACGACGUGGAAGAAGGAGGUGGCAGUCCCCAAGAUAGGUCAGGGGGCAGAAGCCACUAAAGUGACGUCCUGUGCCCGAGGAGCCUUCAAUCAAAGAGUGCGACCUCUUUGUAAGUGAGAUUCUUGCUUUCUGCCGAAAGUGCGUUCAUCCAUAACACUCAUUCCACCGUCACCCAGCUAGAAAGCACCGACGCUAAUCCCUGGAGAGGACUUUGCUCUGGGUCUGACUGUGUAGCAAAGACCAGGCGUGGGGCUGCUGCCUGGGGACGGCAGACACCUCAUCAGUCAGCGUGUGCUGGAGCUGAAUCUGCGUGCAAAGUGACAAGUCUGCAAUUCGUGUUCUUACGAAGAUAAUGAGCUGUCGCAAACCAGCAAUUUGGCUAAAAAAGAGCCUCCAAGACUCCAAGAAAACUUGUCACUUCAUGCGGCCCUCCCCUUUCCUAAGUGGUAAUGCAAGUUUGCAGUUGAAUUUCAAGACUCUGAAACCACAUUUCCUGGCAUUCAUGGAUGUUACAUUGCAUGUGGGAUGCUUCGUACAGUAUAUUUUUCAUUUGUACCCAAAUGAAUCUUGGAACAACAUAUGCGGGUGAAUUGUUUUCUGUUAUUCUUGUUUGCUUGCUUGUCUUGGCUCUGCAGUCUCCUAACCCAGAAACCAUCUUGUUUAGUUCAGUUUUAGAAGUUUUGGGGGAACCAUUGUUAUUAUACCAACACUGCUCCCACAGCUGUGCCCAUAUUGUUUUAAAUAGCAGGCAAAUGUGCUUUCUCUGGAACUGAAAAAAUGCUGUGUGAUUUUAGGAUCUGUCUUGGCGUUUUUUGGGGUCAGAAAAGGAUGGAUGAAAAUAUCCAAAACAGAGUCGCUGGAGAAGGAAUCAGAGGACCUAACAUGUUAAAAAUGCAGUCUUGGGGCAGGCGUCUAGUGCAGUGGUUAACAUGCUGGUUGGGGUUGCUGGCG